rnacentral:sRNA from 1 species
AGGUUUCCGUAGGUGAACCUGCGGAAGGAUCAUUGUCGAUAUCCGGAAGGAAGAAAUGAGAACCUGUGAUGGUGCCUCUCUGGAACGGACGCAACAAAGGCUUUGUAGCGUUCUUGCUCUCAUUGGCACCCCUUAACGCCACCGCCUAGUGUUCGCGCGGGAACGGUGGUGGGAACAAGACCCCCGGCGCGGUCUGCGCCAAGUAGCAUUCUACCUGGAAAGCAUUGCAUGCUUUGAUGCCUGGCAUUGUGGCAUGUGAUGUGAUCCAUGCUAACGACAUCAUAUGGAUGACUCUCGGCAACGGAUAUCUUGGCUCUCGCAUCGAUGAAGAACGUAGCAAAAUGCGAUACUUGGUGUGAAUUGCAGAAUCCUGUGAAUCAUCGAGUUUUUGAACGCAAGUAGCGCCCGAGGCCACCUGGUCGAGGGCAUGGCUGCCUGGGCGUCGCACUUAACGUCGCUUCAUGCACCUAAUCAGGGCGCUUGCAGUGGCUYGCUCUGUGCAUGAACGUGUAGAAUGGCUCCAUGUGCUUCACGGCAUUUUGGGCCGAAGUGUGUGGGCUUUCCCGCUGGUUUUGUAUGCACGGUGAGUGGUGGAUGGACACCAUGUGUGGUUCCUUUCUUUUCGUGGACUAUAGUAACUAAGCUGACAAAGCAAAAGAAAAUAACCAAAAGCAGAUAGCACGCUUGAUCGCGUCUUCAAACCAUGACCCCAGGUCAGGCGGGAACACCUGCUGAGC